AUUGUGUGAUAUUAUGCGUUAGGUUGUUAGCGUGAUAUGCGUAUUGAUUUGCUUGACGUCUUUAAGGACGUAUUUUUAAAUAAAAAUAGAAAAAAGUAAAUAAAAGAGAAUAAUGAUAUUAAAAGAAAUGAUAAGAUUGAGGAUGUUGGACUGUAAUGGAACCUACGGGUUCAUUACAGGUCAUUAAUCGCUGACGAGCAAUGAGAGGAAGGAUCGAGGUACGGGCCGUGGUCUUCCAUAAAUAGGCUUGAGGAGCCAUAAGUUAAAAU
rnacentral:sRNA from 1 species